rnacentral:rRNA from 1 species
GAUGAACGCUGGCGGCGUGCCUAAUACAUGCAAGUCGAGCGAACAGACGAGGAGCUUGCUUCUCUGACGUUAGCGGCGGACGGGUGAGUAACACGUGGAUAACCUACCUAUAAGACUGGGAUAACUUCGGGAAACCGGAGCUAAUACCGGAUAAUAUGUUGAACCGCAUGGUUCAAUAGUGAAAGACGGUUUUGCUGUCACUUAUAGAUGGAUCCGCGCCGCAUUAGCUAGUUGGUAAGGUAACGGCUUACCAAGGCAACGAUGCGUAUCCGACCUGAGAGGGUGAUCGGCCACACUGGAACUGAGACACGGUCCAGACUCCUACGGGAGGCAGCAGUAGGGAAUCUUCCGCAAUGGGCGAAAGCCUGACGGAGCAACGCCGCGUGAGUGAUGAAGGUCUUCGGAUCGUAAAACUCUGUUAUUAGGGAAGAACAAAUGUGUAAGUAACUAUGCACGUCUUGACGGUACCUAAUCAGAAAGCCACGGCUAACUACGUGCCAGCAGCCGCGGUAAUACGUAGGUGGCAAGCGUUAUCCGGAAUUAUUGGGCGUAAAGCGCGCGUAGGCGGUUUUUUAAGUCUGAUGUGAAAGCCCACGGCUCAACCGUGGAGGGUCAUUGGAAACUGGAAAACUUGAGUGCAGAAGAGGAAAGUGGAAUUCCAUGUGUAGCGGUGAAAUGCGCAGAGAUAUGGAGGAACACCAGUGGCGAAGGCGACUUUCUGGUCUGUAACUGACGCUGAUGUGCGAAAGCGUGGGGAUCAAACAGGAUUAGAUACCCUGGUAGUCCACGCCGUAAACGAUGAGUGCUAAGUGUUAGGGGGUUUCCGCCCCUUAGUGCUGCAGCUAACGCAUUAAGCACUCCGCCUGGGGAGUACGACCGCAAGGUUGAAACUCAAAGGAAUUGACGGGGACCCGCACAAGCGGUGGAGCAUGUGGUUUAAUUCGAAGCAACGCGAAGAACCUUACCAAAUCUUGACAUCCUCUGACCCCUCUAGAGAUAGAGUUUUCCCCUUCGGGGGACAGAGUGACAGGUGGUGCAUGGUUGUCGUCAGCUCGUGUCGUGAGAUGUUGGGUUAAGUCCCGCAACGAGCGCAACCCUUAAGCUUAGUUGCCAUCAUUAAGUUGGGCACUCUAAGUUGACUGCCGGUGACAAACCGGAGGAAGGUGGGGAUGACGUCAAAUCAUCAUGCCCCUUAUGAUUUGGGCUACACACGUGCUACAAUGGACAAUACAAAGGGCAGCGAAAUCGCGAGGUCAAGCAAAUCCCAUAAAGUUGUUCUCAGUUCGGAUUGUAGUCUGCAACUCGACUAUAUGAAGCUGGAAUCGCUAGUAAUCGUAGAUCAGCAUGCUACGGUGAAUACGUUCCCGGGUCU